GAUGAACGCUGGCGGCGUGCCUAAUACAUGCAAGUCGAGCGAACAGACGAGGAGCUUGCUCCUCUGACGUUAGCGGCGGACGGGUGAGUAACACGUGGAUAACCUACCUAUAAGACUGGGAUAACUUCGGGAAACCGGAGCUAAUACCGGAUAAUAUAUUGAACCGCAUGGUUCAAUAGUGAAAGACGGUUUUGCUGUCACUUAUAGAUGGAUCCGCGCCGCAUUAGCUAGUUGGUAAGGUAACGGCUUACCAAGGCAACGAUGCGUAGCCGACCUGAGAGGAUGAGCAGUCACAACGGAACUGAGACACGGUCCAGCCUCCUACGGGAGGCAGCAGUGGGGAAUAUUGGACAAUGGGCUAAAGCCUGAUCCAGCCAUGCCGCUUGGGUGAAGAAGGUCUUCGGAUUGUAAAGCACUUUAAGUUGGGAGGAAGGGCAGUAAGUGAAUACCGUGCUGUCUUGACGUUACCAACAGAAUAAGCACCGGCUAACUUCGUG
rnacentral:rRNA from 1 species